GCAGUCGUACGCUUCUUUUUCCACCGGAGCUUGCUCCACCGGAAAAAGAGGAGUGGCGAACGGGUGAGUAACACGUGGGUAACCUGCCCAUCAGAAGGGGAUAACACUUGGAAACAGGUGCUAAUACCGUAUAACAAUCGAAACCGCAUGGUUUUGAUUUGAAAGGCGCUUUCGGGUGUCGCUGAUGGAUGGACCCGCGGUGCAUUAGCUAGUUGGUGAGGUAACGGCUCACCAAGGCCACGAUGCAUAGCCGACCUGAGAGGGUGAUCGGCCACAUUGGGACUGAGACACGGCCCAAACUCCUACGGGAGGCAGCAGUAGGGAAUCUUCGGCAAUGGACGAAAGUCUGACCGAGCAACGCCGCGUGAGUGAAGAAGGUUUUCGGAUCGUAAAACUCUGUUGUUAGAGAAGAAUAAGGAUGAGAGUAACUGUUCAUCCCUUGACGGUAUCUAACCAGAAAGCCACGGCUAACUACGUGCCAGCAGCCGCGGUAAUACGUAGGUGGCAAGCGUUGUCCGGAUUUAUUGGGCGUAAAGCGAGCGCAGGCGGUUUCUUAAGUCUGAUGUGAAAGCCCCCGGCUCAACCCGGGAGGGUCAUUGGAAACUGGGAGACUUGAGUGCAGAAGAGGAGAGUGGAAUUCCAUGUGUAGCGGUGAAAUGCGUAGAUAUAUGGAGGAACACCAGUGGCGAAGGCGGCUCUCUGGUCUGUAACUGACGCUGAGGCUCGAAAGCGUGGGGAGCAAACAGGAUUAGAUACCCUGGUAGUCCACGCC
rnacentral:rRNA from 1 species